rnacentral:lncRNA from 1 species
GAUGUGCUUACUUUUUUAUCAGCCAUCCCUAACACUUUUCAGAUGCUUGUCAAAAAAAAGCAUCUGAAUAAAAGGUUUAAUUAAACCACCAGCGAGAAGAAAAGGAAUGUAAGUACGCUCUACAAUUAAGUUUUUCGGUUGAUAGAAUGUGGCAAUUCGAACAGUCUACGAACAGUCUACCUGUGGCACUUGCCACAGCCAUUUGGGCGGUCCAAAAUCUAAUUGAAAUCUCUAUUCUCAGACAAUGGAUGAUGGGCGUCGUGAGGACUUUGAGAAAGCUUUAAGCGUGCUCGAAAACCGGCACCCAGGGGAGCAGCGGCCGCCACGGUGCGAGCCCAGAGUGCAGCCGGUAAAUGGAAUUGUGCAGCCCCCGGUGAUGCCGCCACCCAAUCGUAAGGGAAGGGUAACCAAUUUCUUGUUAAAACUGAGAACCGCUGUGAAUGCGUUGUCGCGCAACCCUUCCUCGCUGCACUUUCGCCAACCUGUCGAUGCUGUGAAGCUGAAGAUCAGGGACUACCACGAAAAAAUCGCAAACCCCAUGGACUUGAACACAAUCAAGAAAAGAUUUGAGUACACAUACUACUGGGGCGGUGCAGACGUCCUGGAAGACAUUCUAUUGAUUUUCGAAAACUGCAGAGUCUACAACAGUCCGGACUCGCCCGUGUUUAAAGCUGCUGUCAACCUGUGCGAGUGCUUUUG